AGUACACAGGAGGGCACUGGAGCCCAUAAAGAUUGUCAUUUACCCUACGGCUCCAGUCAAAUUAGCUGCAGAGCUGGCAUUGGAACCCAAUUUUCUUAAUGCAUAAGUCAGUUUUUUUUCCAAAUGAAUAAGCAUUUCCAUGUAAUUAUGUAAUUUCAUCUUGGUUAUAAAUAAUGCAUAAUGUUUCAUAAGCGUUUUCUACUUUCUACUAUUGUAAGUAAAACUAUGGGUGUUUUUUCAGUCAAGAACUAUUUAUCAGGCACUAAAAAUAAACAAAAGAAUCUCUGCCUCAUGGAGUUUAUAUUCUGACAGAGAAGUAUCAUCUCAAUUACAGUUGUUUCCUUAGGAUAGAGUAUAAGUGAAUUCUCAUAUUACAAAUGAAAAUGUUUAGUAAGUGCAUUUCUAAACAUUAAAAUCAACUUUCUCUCUCUUAAAUUCUGUUUCAGAAGUCUACUACUGUUUUUCUUUUCUUUUCUUUUCUUUUCUUUUCUUUUCUUUUCUUUUUUCUUUUCUUUGAGGCAGGGUCUCCCUUUGUAGUUCAGGCUGGACCUGAACUCACUAGAUAGCCCAGGCUGGCCUCGAACUCUCGGGGAUCCUCCUGCCUCAGCCUCCCGAGUGCUGGGAUCCCAGGUGUGCGCCACUUCGCCUCGUGUCUUUCUUUGGUGUUUGUUGGCCGUGGUGGCGCACACUUGUAAUACCAGUUAUUUGGGAGGUUGAAGAGGAGGAUUGCAGGUUUGAGCCCAGCUUGGGCAACUUAGUGAGAUUUUGUCUCAAAAUGAAAAUAAAAAGGGGCAGGGGUGUAGCUCAGUGGUAGAGUGCUUGCUUCAUGGGAGACCUAGGGUUGAGUUCCCAGGAUGGGGCGGUAAUAAUGUUUGCUCCCUCAUACACAUGUGCUACCACAAAUUAAAAUGAGUAGGAACCUCUGACAAAAGUUAAGUAUUGUUAAUUAUUGAUAAUUUGGGUAAUUGCUUUUUUUCACUGUAUUGCUAAAAAUGUAUAAAAUAUUUAUGAUUUUUGGUGUGGCUGGGAAAAUUUUCUAUUUAUUGUAAAUAACCAAUAAAAUCUAAAUUAAAGUCAGAUUUCAAAUUGAUUGUAUUUAUGCCUUGGUUUGUAGAUUUUCCCCUUCUUUCAUUUCUAGGAAUUCUCUAGGGAGUUAGUAGCAACCUUAAUAAAAUGGUGUAACUUAGGGAAGGCAUUAGAUGUUAUUCAUCCUACUCUGAGAUGGAUGCCUAGUUUGAACUUUCAUUUUGUUGUGUGUGUUUAGUAACAACAGCAGCAGCAGGAACAACAAAUAUUCCUUUAAAAAAGUUAUGACCGAGUCUCAGAUUGAAGGAGGGUUUGAUGACUGAUUCCUGUUGCUGAGUUCAGCAGACUUUAAGAUGGAAGUCUAUUCAGAAGUACCUGGGAUCGAACUCGGGACCUUGCAUUUGCAAGGCUGGCAGUGGAACCACUGAGCUAAAUCCCCGGCCC
rnacentral:lncRNA from 1 species